rnacentral:other from 1 species
UGAGAGCUGCAGCGUUCGCGACGGACUGAUCUCCGGCGACCUUAAUUUCCGUCAGGGAGCUGGCAUUCUGGUUCGGAUCGUGGUCCGGGCUCACCCGGCGCCCACCUAGUAUCUAGGUUGACGGGAGUGAAUAUGCCCCGCGGCGUUCGCGGUUCUCGU